CGAUAAACAUUACAUAUGAGCACAACCAUUGAGAUUAAAAAUAUCCAAACAUCAAUCAGAAAAUCUAAAAUUUUUAAGGAAAAAUUAGAGAAACAACAAAAACAUAAUACUUGUAAACAAAUUAAACUGCAACGAAACAAAUUGUUCAUUGUUGAAGUGUUAAGAGUUUAUUGUUUAUUGUUUAUUAGAGAAACAACAGUUGCAGUGUUAAGAGUUUAUUGUUGAUUUCCUUUCAGAAGUUGCCUUAAUUGAGGCCUGUAGCACAUGACAUGGAUCUGUCCAUGUUGCAAAAGACCUGAGAAGAGAAACAAGCAAAGUUUUCUUCUGAAUUAUGUUAUGCCUCAGGUUUGGGUUUCAUGGCGUUCCCAUACUGCGAUGAUGUUGGUUCUCUAUUCUCUUUUCAAACAAUGGUUCAUUAUUGAGGUGUUGCUCGGGUGAAGAUUGGAUAUCAGUGUGCUGGUGCAGCUGUCUCUUCUCUCUUUUGUUCCCUGUGGCUUUCAUAGUUGGUUGCUCUAGCACUGUUGGUCAAGUCUCAAGGGGUGUAACUCGGGCAGUUUAGUCGGGUUGAGAGGUUAUCCAAGCACAGCCCAAGUUAUGCUGAGACUUACCCAGGCCCGCCCAAGCCCGAAUUGUAACCCGAGGUUGCAUAUCCAAGCCCGACCUGAGUUAAACCCGAAUUGCCCAAGUUGCCCAAUUUGUAAAUGAAUUUCAGUAUUUUUUUUUCCAGCUUC